rnacentral:rRNA from 1 species
GUGGGGAAUAUUGGACAAUGGGCGAAAGCCUGAUCCAGCCAUGCCGCGUGUGUGAAGAAGGUCUUCGGAUUGUAAAGCACUUUAAGUUGGGAGGAAGGGCAGUAAGUUAAUACCUUGCUGUUUUGACGUUACCGACAGAAUAAGCACCGGCUAACUUCGUGCCAGCAGCCGCGGUAAUACGAAGGGUGCAAGCGUUAAUCGGAAUUACUGGGCGUAAAGCGCGCGUAGGUGGUUUUGUAAGUUGGAGGUGAAAUCCCCGGGCUCAACCUGGGCACUGCCUCCAAAAAUGCAUGACUAGAGUACGGUAGAGGAUAGUGGAAUUUCCUGUGUAGCGGUGAAAUGCGUAGAUAUAGGAAGGAACACCAGUGGCGAAGGCGACUACCUGGACUGAUACUGACACUGAGGUGCGAAAGCGUGGGGAGCAAACAGGAUUAGAAACCCGUGUAGUCC